UUUAUUGUUAGGGCCUCACCUAA
rnacentral:siRNA from 1 species